AUAGUAGGGCUACCGAUGGGACGAUAUCGGAGUCUCUUCACGGUGCACCUGCCGGACACUCACUCAGUGAUGGGGGGAUUAACCUUUUCGUGACCAGAAGUUCACUGAUGAUUAGCAGGCCUCCUUGUUAACCUAUUCAUGACCAGUCACUCGCAGCGUCACCGUAAGCGUAAGGUGUGAUGGAUGGAUAACAUUGUCACAGUUGGACUCCACCUUUCCUCUUUAAAUAUAUGCUCCAAUACUCACUCCAGGGAUGAUGUUGAGGUUUCUCUCUUAUCUCCUCUGUGUUCAGAAAUAAAAUUGAUGCCCCUUCUCCUGAAGAAACGGACACUAUUCGUGAAACAAGUGGAGGAGAUCCUCCUAUUGUCAACACAUCAUUGUUAGAUGUAUGGUUUAUUUCAUAUGUAGUCUUCUUCUGGACUAUGGUUCAGUCUACAUAUUUAUGCAUGUAUGUGUAGGGGAUUCUUCCUGCCUUGAUGAUGGAGAAUUUUUUUUUAAAUCACAUGUAUGGUUGUAAUCACAUAUUUUA